UGAGUAAUGCAUGGGCAAUCUACCCUCAAGUUGGGAAUACCUCCGCGAAAGUGGGAGUUAAUACCGAAUAUGAUCUCCCGGCGCAUGCCGGGGUGUUCAAAGGCGGGGACCUUCGGGCCUGCCGCUUGGGGAUGAGCCCGUGUCCUAUCAGCUUGUUGGUGAGGUAAUGGCUCACCAAGGCUUACGGGUAGCUGGUCUGAAAGGAUGGUCAGCCACACUGGGACUGAGACACUGCCCAGACUCCUACGGGAGGCUGCAGUCGAGAAUCAUUGUCAAUGCGCGAAAGCGUGAACAUGCGACGCCGCGUGGAGGAUGAAGGCCUUCGGGUUGUAAACUCCUGUAGUCAGGGAGCAAUCGUCGGUGGGUGAAUACCCCAUCGGCCUGAUCGUACCUGAACAGUAAGCCACGGCUAACUCUGUGCCAGCAGCCGCGGUAAUACAGAGGUGGCAAGCGUUGUUCGGAUUUACUGGGCGUAAAGGGUGCGUAGGCGGUUGCGUGUGUCGGAUGUGAAAUCUCACUGUUCAUCGGUGAAACUGCAUUCGAAACUACGUAACUCGAGUACUGGAGAGGAGAGCGGAAUUCUUGGUGUAGCGGUGAAAUGCGUUGAGAUCAAGAAGAACGCCGGUGGCGAAGGCGGCUCUCUGGACAGAAACUGACGCUGAGGCACGAAAGCUAGGGGAGCAAACAGGAUUAGAUACCCUGGUAGUCCUAGCCGUAAGCGUUGUGCACUUGGUGUGGGAGGAGUUUACCCCUUCCGUGCCGUAG
rnacentral:rRNA from 1 species